rnacentral:rRNA from 1 species
UACGUAGGGGGCUAGCGUUAUCCGGAAUUACUGGGCGUAAAGGGUGCGUAGGUGGUUUCUUAAGUCAGAGGUGAAAGGCUACGGCUCAACCGUAGUAAGCCUUUGAAACUGGGAAACUUGAGUGCAGGAGAGGAGAGUGGAAUUCCUAGUGUAGCGGUGAAAUGCGUAGAUAUUAGGGGGAACACCAGUUGCGAAGGCGGCUCUCUGGACUGUAACUGACACUGAGGCACGAAAGCGUGGGGGGCAAACAGG